ensembl:snRNA U4 U4 spliceosomal RNA
AGCUUUGUGCAGUGGCAGUAUUGUGGCCAAUGAGGUUUAUCUGAGGCAUGAUUGUUGCUAAUUGAACACUAUCAAUAGAAAC